rnacentral:rRNA from 1 species
GGUUGAUCCUGCCAGUAGUCAUAUGCUUGUCUCAAAGAUUAAGCCAUGCAUGUGUAAGUAUGAACGAAUUCAGACUAUGAAACUGCGAAUGGCUCAUUAAACCCCGACUUCUGGAAGGGAUGCAUUUAUUAGAUAAAAGGUCGACGCGGGCUCUGCCCGUUGCUCUGAUGAUUCAUGAUAACUCGACGGAUCGCAUGGCCUUAGUGCUUGCGACGCAUCAUUCAAAUUUCUGCCCUAUCAACUUUCGAUGGUAGGAUAGUGGCCUACCUUGGUGGUAACGGGUGACGGAGAAU